GACGAACGCUGGCGGCGUGCUUAACACAUGCAAGUCGAGCGGAAAGGCCCUUUCGGGGGUACUCGAGCGGCGAACGGGUGAGUAACACGUGAGUAAUCUGCCCCUGGCUUUGGGAUAGCCACCGGAAACGGUGAUUAAUACCGGAUACGACCACUUCUCGCAUGGGAUGGUGGUGGAAAGUUUUUCGGCCAGGGAUGUGCUCGCGGCCUAUCAGCUUGAUGGUGAGGUAAUGGCUCACCAUGGCUUCGACGGGUAGCCGGCCUGAGAGGGUGACCGGUCACACUGGGACUGAGGCACGGCCCAGACUCCUACGGGAGGCAGCAGUGGGGAAUAUUGGACGAUGGGCGGAAGCCUGAUCCAGCAACGCCGCGUGAGGGAUGACGGCCUUCGGGUUGUAAACCUCUUUCAGCAGGGACGAAGCGCGAGUGACGGUACCUGCAGAAGAAGCACCGGCCAACUACGUGCCAGCCGCCGCCGUAA
rnacentral:rRNA from 1 species